CGGUGAGAAGGGGGGGAAGAAAGAAAAAAAACAAACAAAAAAACAAAACACCUGGGUCACUUGUAUGGAGAAAAAAAACAGAAGAGAAAGCAAACAACAAAGAGCAACAUAAUAAAAAAAACAGCACCAUCACAAUAAACUAGCUAGCAGUAGAUAUCAGUAGAUACUAAAUAAUAAACGAUAUUGUGCAGCACGCAAGAUAGACAGCGCACAAUGUGCUUUGAGGCAGCAGCCAAGAAAGCUGUAGUCCGCGUCUGUGAUAAUUAUCUGAAUCUUACAACCAAAGUUUUCAUCUGAUGUCAAAUGUAUAGAAGUCCAUUAUUGUAUAUCAGAACUAUUAAGUCAAAUUUAUAACAUAGUAAGCUAUAACACUUUUUCCUUUGGGAAGAUACCAUCUGUGCAGUCUGCAAUUCAGUUGAAGAAAGAUAUAGAAUCUAUUUAAUUAUUGUAGAAAAAUAAUUGAUUUCUGUGCAUUUUUUUUUCUUUACACGUGCAUUAAAUUAAGGUUGAUUACGUCAAUUAAGCAUUGUGAGGCGGAGGGCAGGGGUUGGUUCCCUAUUUUUUUUUCUUUUUGCUAGGAGUUGGCAACCCUAUUAGUUAGGUUGCUUAAUAUUUCUACUAAGUACUCUUUAAAAUACCACAAUAGGAAGGAUGGUGUAGGUUUAAGUUUAUUAGAUUGAUCAGUGUUGCUGAACCAUGAAAUAUUUUGGGUGCAGUGUAUUUUUUGCACAAGGUAUAACAGAAUAGCUUUAGUUUUAUUUUGUUUUUUUAAACUUGAGUAUGAACUUAUACAAAAUGCAGCAAGAUAUUUAAAAAAAAAACGUUUUAUUGAUUAUAAAAUACCCUAUAUAUAAAUAUUUAUAUCGGCAGAUAUCCAAAUUUCUGAUAUCGGUAUUGCACAUAAAAAAGUGAUAUCGUGCCAUCUCUAAUUUUGACACAGCAUGUCAGACAGCAUGAGAUCUGGACUUUGACUACGCCACUGCAAUAUGUUUAUUUUUUUUCCUUUCAGCUAUUCUGUUGUAGAGUUCCUGAUACAUGACAUAGUCAUACAUCAUUAUCCUGUUGCGUGACACAGUUGUGGGCAAGCUUUAGCUUUUGGACAUAUAGACUCACAUUUGACUGUGAAUGCUUUUUGGUAUUCAGAGGAAGUCCUGGUUGACUCGGUGAGAUACCG
ensembl:lncRNA